ensembl:lncRNA
UAUAUAUAUAUAUAUAUAUAUAUAUAUAUAUAUAUAUAUACACAUAUAUAUAUAUAGACAAAAAAACACUCUUGAAAAAGAUUUUUGGUUAUCCUUUUAUGAUGGACUGUAGCAUGAAACGUGACAUCACCAUACGGAAUGACGGUUGACUGGAUUGUUCGAUUUGUAUUGUACCACUCCCUUUUUUGCUUUUGUUUGUUAAAGUUUUACUGAACCUGGUCUUCCAUCUUUAAUUGAACAUCCCACAGUGGGCUGUAAUGGUGUGUUCAUGUUUGAGCCCCCUCACACACACCACUACUGUCAGUUAUUCGUUUGUAGUUUUUACAUUCCCAGUACAGUUACACACUUUCAUGCACACAGCCACACCAGUUUCUUAUCCAAAUUUGAUCUAAAGAAGUCUUCUUAAUCUGGUAAUAAGAAAUUCUGAAUAAGAAACUCUGCAAUAAGUGUGCAUGAUAGAACCACUGUGGGACGAGAAACAUCUGGAAUAUUGCAGCUUAUCUGGAUGGUAACGACUGGUGUUCAACAUCUCAAACCUGAAGACAGAAUCUAUAAUUGUAAAAGUUUCCACCGUAUGGCUUAUAUGUUAACCUGCUGAAAGCACUGAAGCAUUUGGCCUAUUUGUUUUGGCCUUUUUUAUUUCUUUAUUUUUUUUAUUUUUUAUUUUUUUUCUCAUAGGUGGAUUUCGUAGCUUGUGAAAUAUGAUGCUUAGAAGAAUUUUAUGAAUUCAUUUAGAAUUAAUUUUAGAAUGUCAGUUAGUUCAAAGAAAAUGCUGAGGACAAAAGAUUAAAUGAAAAAACAUCAAUGUAAAAGAAGCCCAGAGAUCCUGCAGCUGUACAUAUGGACAAAUAACUAAAAUAUUUGCUUUUUAUAUCAAUCACAAGCAAUGUAUAUAUGAUAGUUUUCAUAUAAAUUUUUAAAAAUCAAAAAAUAUAUAGAUCUAUAUAUGAAUGUUUGGCAUAUAUGCAUAGUUAACCACCUGUCAAAAAAGGUGAAGAUUUUACUCUUUGUAUGGAGUUUGGGGGUGAUUUGCACAAAACAAGGUGCUAGCAUUUCAAGCCAUUCAUUCCAACCUGUCGCAUUCAACCCUCUAUUAGGGCUCAACAGAUGCAUAUAUAACCUGUUUGCAUAUUUAACCGAAACCUGGGAUCCAAACACAGACACAAAUAUGCUCAUUUCUCUUCCAUGCACCAUCGUUCCUAUUCAGUCCUGUUUUUAAUACCUAACGUGUGUAUGUGUCUUAGACUGUGACAGCAGAAAGAGUUAAUGCUUCACCAUUGGUCAUCUCUUCUCUUGCAUCUGAAAUCAGGCCACACGCAAACAGCCAAGGAUGACGAGACCUCAGUGCAUCAUCAGAUGAGCAUGCCAGCAACACUGUGUAGGAAAACUCUCUUCUGUAGGAGCAGUGUUGAGUCGGAGUAGAUGCCAUAUUUUGAUAUGAACGAAAAGCAGCUGUGAGGGAUUGAAGUACAGCCUGUUCACACUGCAGGUAAAAACAGAUGUCACUCCUCUUUUUAAUGCGGUUCUGUACACACUGUUAAAUAUGGGAGUGCCAUUCUAAACCUGAAUUUACUUGGGAUACAAAACCAAUUAUGAUUUUAAGCAUUACAACACAAUGUAAAGACUGAAAAAUGGAUAUUAAUUUUGGAAUUUUCUAAAGAUUGUAUUUUACAGUUAUUUAUUACUGGUAAAGAUUAAUUUUUGUUAAUCAUAUAUAUAUAUAUAUAUAUAUAUAUAUAUAUAUAUAUAUAUAUACACACAGACACACACACACUAGCAUAAAACAUUUUGAAGGUCAGUUUUUUUUAUGUAUUCUUUUUUUUUAAAGAGAAUAACUAUUUUAUUUAGCAUAAAUGCAUUUGAUCAAAAGUGACAGUAAAUACAUUUAUAAUUUUACAAAAAAAAUAGCAUUUUUAAAUGUAUUCAAAUAGAAAAUUUUUAUUUUAAAUUGUAAUAAAAUUAACAUCACGUUUUUACUAUGUUUUGAUCCUAAAAAUGCAGCUUUAGUGACCAUAAAAGACUUCAAACUAAUUAAAGAGUUUUACUGACUAUUGAUAUUGAAUGAUACUGUACUAAUAAAUUGAAAAAUCGGAUAACUGAUAUGGUGUUGAUAGUGACUGUACCUUUAUAUUUUUCCCCCUCUGAUUAACAUUUAAAAUAUACAAAUUUCCAACAUAAAAUAAAGGUUUUGAAAAUCAGAUGUGACCUAUGACCUUGUACUUUUAUAACCUCAUUUCUGUUCUGGAAAUAUGGUGGUUACUCUGAUUAAAAUUUAUUCUCCCAUCCUAGAUGAAGACUAGUUACAAUUUAGCUCAUUAACAGAGAUCCUGACCUCCCAUCCUAAAGCAGCCGCUCUGCGUUAAAUCUUCAGUCUGUCUGACUGUACAAGGGCUUGAAUGAAGGUGUUGAGGGGCCUUCUUCAUUCCAUGGUAGACUUGUUAAAUCCACUUUGUUUUUUACUUAAAUCUUACAGAAUCGCUCAAUUUUGACAUUUUUAAUUUUUCAUCCCACUCAAAGUCAUGUUCCUACCUUCAGCUCAUCCAGAAGAACAAAGGCAAGUGUGUGUAUGUUUUUGUGAAUGUCGUCCCACUCUGGAGACUUGGAACUGCAUUUCUGAGCCAUAUGUACCACAGUUUUCCUCCUCUCAACUUCUGAUAACUCGCGAGCUGAGAUUUUCAUUCUGUACACACAUCACUUUCAUCUUUCAUGAUAUUGAUUUUAUUCCAUUAUAGUUGUUCUAGCAGGAGAUGAAAGGACAUGAAGAAAAAUGAACAAAUGUGCCAAAAAGUGAUUAUUGUUUUUAGCUUUUCUUUGAGGUUUGUUGGAACUAAAUGCUGUUUGAACCAGCACUAUGGUGCCACCUCCUGGACAUUUUGAGACUACACACAUCUACUGUUUUCUUUUGCUUUCUUUGUUUAUGAGUUUAUAUACAUUUUUAUGUUUUUCAAUGAUUUCCAUACGUGUCCCAGUUUAUUGAGUUUCCUGGGCACAUUCAUGUCUGGAUUUAAGAAGCUGUUCUGUUUGGCUUGAAUUCCAGUCAAUUCUAUUAGUGACUGACUUGCACAUUCGGUGGACACUCUCCCUGACCUUUGCCCUUUAUUCUCUCCCAAUGUAGCAGAAAUCAGGGGUUCUGCAUAUUUAACCAGAAUGAAAAUUGCAGUUGAUUUCUUUGUCAUUUUACUCAACCAAUGGCAGGACGAAACAUGAAAUAAAACACAUCAUUUACAUGACUGCAGUAUGUUCUAUAGGGUUGUCCAUCUUGUUUUCUGACCAACAAAAGCACAAUAAAAAAUAGCAAGAAAUGCAGUAUAUACUGCUUUAAUGAGCAUUGUUUUCUGGUGGGUUGAUUGCUCAGUUGAGGUUGUGAUGGAGGUUUAUUUCACUCAGGUAAUACUUAAAGAGAGAGAAGCACUUUCCACAAAGAUGUGCAAAAAAAAAAGGGUUGAAACUGAAAAGUCUUCAUUUUGUAACAGACUAAAGAAUGUUUAACCUUCAGAAAAUGUUUGUCCACCUCAAAUAAAUUUAAAAUAAAACUGCUCAUAUAGCAUUUAGUUUUAUAGGUUUGAUGAGUAUUAUAAAAUCAUGAGCAUUAAAUAUAUAGAGAUAAAAACAGUAUGGGAAACAGGGUUGCAGAUUUCACUGUCUCUAGUUUUGGCUUGAAUGCUUAUUUUUAAAUGACUUUUCAUAUAAAGAAAAAUACUUGAUCUUACCAUUUUUGUAUUGUAUGUACAUUUUGUGUUUUUCUUGCAAAAAGAUACUUCUACAAUACACUAAUUUUACACUAAGUUUCAGAAGAGUGUUGGAAUGGUUGAUGUUUGAUAUUAAAUCUAGCAACUUCUCAUGCAUAGAUAAUUUUCUGUUAAAAACUAUAAUUUGUCAAUUAUGGUCCAUUCGUGGAAAGUGC